UACGGAGGGGGCUAGCGUUGUUCGGAAUUACUGGGCGUAAAGCGCGCGUAGGCGGACCUGCAAGUCGGGGGGUGAAAGCCCGAGGCUCAACCUCGGAACUGCCUUCGAUACUGCGGGUCUCGAGUCCGGGAGAGGUGAGUGGAAUUCCUAGUGUAGAGGUGAAAUUCGUAGAUAUUAGGAAGAACACCAGUGGCGAAGGCGGCUCACUGGCCCGAUACUGACGCUGAGGUGCGAAAGCGUGGGGAGCAAACAGG
rnacentral:rRNA from 1 species